GUUUGAUCAUGGCUCAGAUAGAACGCUGGCGGCAUGCUUAACACAUGCAAGUCGAACGGAAACAGGCCUUCGGGCGCUGACGAGUGGCGGACGGGUGAGUAACGUGUGGGAAUCUGCCUAUUAGUGGGGGAUAACUUAGGGAAACUUAAGCUAAUACCGCAUGUGGUCUACGGACUAAAGCAGGGGAUCUUCGGACCUUGUGCUAAUAGAUGAGCCCGCGUUGGAUUAUCUAGUUGGUAGGGUAAAGGCCUACCAAGGCGACGAUCCAUAGCUGUUCUGAGAGGAAGAUCAGCCACACUGGGACUGACACACGGCCCGACUCCUACGGGAGGCAGCAGUGGGGAAUAUUGGACAAUGGGGGCAACCCUGAUCCAGCAAUGCCCCGUGUGUGAAGAAGGCCUGCGGGUUGUAAAGCACUUUCGGUUGGGAGGAAAAGCCUAUGGCUAACAUCCAUGGGUCUUGACGUAACCAACAUAAGAAGCACCGGCUAACUCCGUGCCAGCAGCCGCGGUAAUACGGAGGGUGCGAGCGUUUAUCGGAAUUACUGGGCGUAAAGCGUGCGUAUGCGGAUGCUUGAGUCGGAUGUGAAAGCCCCGGGCUUAACCUGGGAAUUGCAUCCGAUACUGGGCAUCUAUAGUGUGGUACAGGGGGGUAGAAUUCCUGAUGUAACGUCGAGAUGCAUAGAUAUCAUGAGGAAUACCGGUGGCGAACGCGACCGGCUGGAGCAACACUGACGCUGAAGUACGACAGCGUGGGUAGCAAACACGAUUAGAUACCCUGGUAGUCCACGCCGUAAACCAUGUCAACUAAUCGUGGGGUCUUCUGAUCUUGGUGGCGCAGCUAACGCGUGAGCUAGACCGUCUGGGGAGUACGGCCGC
rnacentral:rRNA from 1 species